rnacentral:misc_RNA from 1 species
AAGUCUAUUUGAUUUUUCAAAAAAUAACAAGGAAAACUGUGAAUAUACGUAAAUCAUUCUAAUAAAUUAAACUUAGAAAACGAAUAUUUUAAUUUCAUUGUUCCCUUAUAGUAUAUUAUUUUUUCCUAUUUUUAGAAAAAUGGAUAAAGAGAUCAAGAUCGAGAAGCAGGAGGAUGAAUUUGGAGAAUGUGAAUUUGAAACUAGCAACGUCAAAGAUGAGUCAUCCUCGCACAAUGGUUCAACUUCCAAUCAGAUGGCGAGAGUUAAGCAGGAGAAUGAUAGCAGCCAAGAACCAGCGCCAGAGUGCAGCACUGCAUGCUCUCCAACUGAUGAUGAUUUCAGCCAACAACAUUAUCUAAUCCCUGGCUAUAAUCUAAUAUUCAUCAAAGAGGAAGAAUAUGUUGAGCAAGAGGCAGAAGGAUGUUCAGUGGAGAGUGAAACGGAGAUGUGGCCUUCAAACUGCAGCACAUCUGAAACUGCCAAUGCAACAGAAGUGGGUGGACUGAAUGCACAUUCAAUCUCUCCCAUGGAAGAGUGCACUGAGCCAUCUGUGGCUGGCAAAAUGAUCAAGCUCUACAGCUGUGCUGACUGCAGCUAUAAAACUCCAUCGAUUACUAAUUGGAAGAGACACAUGAGAAAACACACUGGGGAAAAGCCUUUCAGUUAUCAAGAUCGAGAAGCAGGAGGAUGAAUUUGGAGAAUGUGAAUUUGCAACUAGCAUCGUCAAAGAUGAGUCAUCCUCGCACAAUGGUUCAACUUCCAAUCAGAUGGCGAGAGUUAAGCAGGAGAAUGAUAGCAGCCAAGAACCAGCGCCAGAGUGCAGCACUGCAUGCUCUCCAACUGAUGAUGAUUUCAGCCAACAACAUUAUCUAAUCCCUGGCUAUAAUCUAAUAUUCAUCAAAGAGGAAGAAUAUGGUGAGAUUC